rnacentral:rRNA from 1 species
UACGAAGGGUGCAAGCGUUACUCGGAAUUACUGGGCGUAAAGCGUGCGUAGGUGGUGAGUUAAGUCUGUCGUGAAAGCCCCGGGCUCAACCUGGGAAUGGCGAUGGAUACUGGCUCGCUAGAGUGCGGUAGAGGAGAGUGGAAUUCCCGGUGUAGCAGUGAAAUGCGCAGAUAUUGGGAGGAACACCAGCGGCGAAGGCGGCACUCUGGGCGGGUACUGACGCUGAGGAGCGAAAGCGUGGGUAGCGAACAGG